rnacentral:rRNA from 1 species
GAUGAACGCUAGCGGCAGACUUAACACAUGCAAGUCGAGGGGUAGAGUUAGCUUGCUAACUUGAGACCGGCGCACGGGUGCGUAACGCGUAUGUAAUCUACCUUUUACAGAGGGAUAGUCCAGAGAAAUUUGGAUUAAUACCUCAUAGUAUCUUUGCCUGGCAUCAGGUGACUAUUAAAGUUCCAACGGUAAAAGAUGAGCAUGCGUCCUAUUAGCUAGAUGGUAAGGUAACGGCUUACCAUGGCAACGAUAGGUAGGGGUCCUGAGAGGGAGAUCCCCCACACUGGUACUGAGACACGGACCAGACUCCUACGGGAGGCAGCAGUGAGGAAUAUUGGACAAUGGGCGCAAGCCUGAUCCAGCCAUGCCGCGUGCAGGAAGAGGCAUCUAUGGUGUGUAAACUGCUUUUGUACGGGAAGAAACACUCCCUCGUGAGGGAGCUUGACGGUACCGUAAGAAUAAGGAUCGGCUAACUCCGUGCCAGCCGCCGCCGUAAUAC